ACACACACACACACACACCCAAACACACUGACGCAAACACACACACACACGCCGGCCCAAACAAACACAGAUGUCCAAAAUCUGAACCCUGCAGUAAAUGAUGGAAUUGCUCUUCCACCUGCUGAUUAUGGGUUGAUGGAGUACUAUGCCAACACGUGUUCUCCCCCUGCUCCACCCCUCCCUCCUAUCAUUCCUUCACCUCUCACAGCUUUUGCCUCUCCUCCUCCAUCCCUCUCUCCCUCCUCCUCUCUGGCUCUCUCUUCUCCAUCCCUCUCUCUCUCUUUCCCCCUCUCUCCCUCCUCCUAUUUGGCUCUCUCUCCUCCCUCUGCUCUCCCUCUCUCUCCACCCUCUGUCCCACCCUUGCAAACAGGGGUUGGUCUGGCAACCAACGAUGCCCGAAGUGAUUUGCUGGCAGCAAUACGUGUUGGUAUCCAGCUGAAGAAGGUCCAGGAGCAGAAGGAUCUGAGAGCGAAGCGUCAGCCAUUAGGAGAUGAUGUGGCGGCCAUACUGUCUCGCCGUGUCGCCGUGGAGAUGAGUGAUUCAGAGGAAGGGGAGGAGUCAGAUGGGGAAGGUGGGAGGGGCUGGUCGGACUGAGGGGCCUAACAGACAAGGCCACACACACAAAUACAC